rnacentral:rRNA from 1 species
AGAGGUCUCAAGCRUURUUYGGAUUCAUUGGGCGUAAAGGGCGCGUAGGCGGUGGGGUAAGUCUGGUGUGAAAUCUCGGAGCUCAACUUCGAAAUUGCACUGGAUACUGCUCUGCUAGAGGGCUGGAGAGGAGAUCGGAAUUCACGGUGUAGCAGUGAAAUGCGUAGAUAUCGUGAGGAAGACCAGUGGCGAAGGCGGAUCUCUGGACAGCUCCUGACGCUGAGGCGCGAAGGCUAGGGGAGCAAACGGGAUUAGAUACCCCGGUAGUCCUAGCAGUAAACGGUGCACGUUUGGUGUGCGCGGAUUCGACCCCGUGCGUGCCGGAGCUAACGCGUUAAACGUGCCGCCUGAGGAGUACGGUCGCAAGACUG